rnacentral:rRNA from 1 species
AUUGAACGCUAGCGGCAUGCUUAACACAUGCAAGUCGAACGGCAGCGCGGGUAGCUUGCUACCUGGCGGCGAGUGGCGGACGGGUGAGUAAUGCGUAGGAAUCUACCUUAUAGUGAGGGAUAACUCGGGGAAACUCGGGCUAAUACCGCAUAAUCUCUAAGGAGCAAAGCGGGGGACCUUCGGGCCUCGUGCUGUAAGAUGAGCCUACGUCGGAUUAGCUAGUUGGUGGGGUAAUGGCCUACCAAGGCGACGAUCCGUAGCUGGUCUGAGAGGACGAUCAGCCACACUGGGACUGGGACACGGCCCAGACUCCUACGGGAGGCAGCAGUGGGGAAUAUUGGACAAUGGGGGAAACCCUGAUCCAGCAAUGCCGCGUGUGUGAAGAAGGCCUUCGGGUUGUAAAGCACUUUCAGUGGGGAAGAAAGAACCAAAAUUAAUACUUUUGGGUGUUGACGUUACCCACAGAAGAAGCACUGGCUAACUCUGUGCCAGCCGCCGCCGUAA